rnacentral:rRNA from 1 species
UACGGGGGGAGCAAGCGUUGUUCGGAUUCAUUGGGCGUAAAGGGUGCGUAGGUGGCGCCGUAAGUCGGGUGUGAAAUUUCGGAGCUUAACUCCGAAACUGCAUUCGAUACUGCGGUGCUUGAGGACUGGAGAGGAGACUGGAAUUCAUGGUGUAGCAGUGAAAUGCGUAGAGAUCAUGAGGAAGACCAGUGGCGAAGGCGGGUCUCUGGACAGUUCCUGACACUGAGACACGAAGGCCAGGGGAGCAAACGGG